GUGAAUGAAAGUAGUGUUUUAAAAAAUCUCUUCUAUAAAAUUAGUACAAGUUCACAGCACGUUGUCACAUGAUUGAAAAGACUUUCAGCUGUGUGAUCUUUACCUACUUUCCUGUUUUUUCUACCUGGGAAUUUGCAAUGGAGCUAGUCCAGAAACUUUCCGAUAGCACCUCAUAUAAUACUAAUGAAUUAAUAGCAGAAAUUUUGUUGUCUGCUACUAAAUGGGAAAAAUCAAAAUGCCAGAUCAGGAAGUGGAAAUGGCAUGCAUUCUGGCCACCAUGAUUUCAUCAGAUAAUUAUUUACAUAACUUUCAUUUCCAGAUUAUGCCUAAGAUAGUAAUUUAUCUGUAUAAAAGCUUAUCUACUUAUCUGCCUCAAUGAUUAUGAUG
rnacentral:lncRNA from 1 species